rnacentral:rRNA from 1 species
CUUUUUUCAGGGAGGAAUUAAUGACGUGUACCUGAAGAAUAAGCAUCGGCUAGCUCCGUGCCAGCAGCCGCGGUAAGACGGAGGAUGCAAGUGUUAUCCGGAAUCACUGGGCGUAAAGCGUCUGUAGGUGGUCCAAUAAGUCAACUGUUAAAUCUUGAGGCUUAACCUCAAAAUCGCAAUCGAAACUAUUAGACUAGAGUAUAGUAGGGGUAAAGGGAAUUUCCAGUGGAGCGGUGAAAUGCGUAGAGAUUGGAAAGAACACCGAUGGCGAAGGCACUUUACUGGGCUAUUACUAACACUGAGAGACGAAAGCUAGGGUAGCAAAUGGGAUUAGAUACCCCAGUAGUCCUAGCCGUAAACAAUGGAUACCAGAUGUUGAACAGAUCGACCUGUGCAGUAUCGAAGCUAACGCGUUAAGUAUCCCGCCUGGGAAGUAUGCUCGCAAGAGUGAAACUCAAAGGAAUUGACGGA